AGCGAACGCUGGCGGCAGGCCUAACACAUGCAAGUCGAACGAAGCCUUCGGGCUUAGUGGCGGACGGGUGAGGAAAACGUGGGAACGUACCUUUUGGUUCGGAACAACUCAGGGAAACUUGAGCUAAUACCGGAUGAGCCCUUAGGGGGAAAGAUUUAUCGCCAUUGGAGCGGCCCGCGUCUGAUUAGCUAGUUGGUGAGGUAAAGGCUCACCAAGGCGACGAUCAGUAGCUGGUCUGAGAGGAUGAUCAGCCACAUUGGGACUGAGACACGGCCCAAACUCCUACGGGAGGCAGCAGUGGGGAAGCUUGCGCAAUGGUCGAAAGCCUGACGCAGCCAUGCCGCGUGAAUGAUGAAGGUCUUAGGAUUGUAAAAUUCUUUCACCGGGGACGAUAAUGACGGUACCCGGAGAAGAAGCCCCGGCUAACUUCGUGCCAGCAGCCGCAGUAACAC
rnacentral:rRNA from 1 species